rnacentral:rRNA from 1 species
UUUCGGUUCGUAAACCUCUUUUGGCAGGGAAAGAAACAUUCCGACAAUAACUACGUUGGAACUGACGGUACCUGCAGAAUCAGCCACGGCUAACCUCCGCGC